rnacentral:rRNA from 1 species
AUUGAACGCUGGCGGAAUGCUUUACACAUGCAAGUCGAACGGUAGAGGGGGCAACCCCUCGAGAGUGGCGAACGGGUGAGUAAUAUAUCGGAACGUGCCCAGUCGUGGGGGAUAACGUAGCGAAAGUUACGCUAAUACCGCAUACGAUCUAAGGAUGAAAGCGGGGGAUCGCAAGACCUCGCGCGAUUGGAGCGGCCGAUAUCAGAUUAGGUAGUUGGGGGGGUAAAGGCUCACCAAGCCAACGAUCUGUAGCUGGUCUGAGAGGACGACCAGACACACUGGAACUGAGACACGGUCCAGAGUCCUACGGGAGGCAGCAGUGGGGAAUUUUGGACAAUGUACGCAAGUCUGAUCCAGCCAUUCCGCGUGCAGGAUGAAGGCCCUCGGGUUGUAAACUGCUUUUGUACGGAACGAAAAGGUCUCUCUUAAUACGGGGGGCUCAUGACGGUACCGUAAGAAUAAGCACCGGCUAACUACGUGCCAGCAGCCGCCGUAA